rnacentral:lncRNA from 1 species
UUAAUUUUUCCAAAAUUAAUUAGAUUUCAUUAAGGGUAAUUAAGUAAUUACGUAAAAUCAAGGACUCAACAAGAGCCGAGAGUCCGACACGUCAGCAAAAACACUUCUCAAAUAUUGUUAUAUAUAGAUAUAGAUUUGUAUUUUUCUUUUUAAAUGGAAAUCAAUCAAAAUUAAGUUACUUACCUUGAUAUUAAAAACAUAGUCAAACCUUUUGAGAAUUCUACUUU